AGUGUGCGGCUACCACGUGCGCAGCUCUCCACUUGUCCAGUGAUGGGAGAUAUCGCCUUCGACCGACACGAGCACAUGCGCGCAUAGAGCCGGAACACCUUGCCACACUACCGUUACUUGACCGCCGCUGCUACGCCAUGCACUGUCGGCACACAUUCGCGGCUCUUUGGCGUGUGACAGCAGGGACAAGGCCGGUGGACCUCAACGCUUCCACCAACAGAAUUGCCUGCACUGCCAAGUACUUUCGACGAGGUCAACUCCCUGUCCUAGCCAUGCAGCUCAGGUGCUUUCACCAUACCUGUCCAAACUUGGCAGCUCACCCGGGCUUCGCAGACGCCACGACUUCCGCAAGCGCCAAGAGGCCCAAAAAGAAGAAGCGCACGCUCUCUCCAGAGGAUGCUCUCAUGCGCCGAGUGAACACACUCGUUGGUGAGCGCGACGCCGCCGCUGCCGUGCAGGUCGUCAAGGCGGCUCUUCAGGGCUCAUGGGAGCCGCUAGCAGAUGGUGCGGAGCCUGCCGGCAGUGGUUUAUCUGAGACAGGCUCUUCAGGUUUGAUGCCGACUUCCCGGCCAGUCUUCUCGACGAAGGCCUUUGCAGCCGCUCUAUUUGCGUGCGAGGCAACCGGUGACGCCGCAUCGGGCCUGUCUCUCGUCGCCGAGGCGCGCCGGUGCUCCUCAAGCGGCAUCUCGACGGAAUGGCUCCAGACGGAGCACGUGUUGUCCGUUAUUUUGCGCCUCCAAUGCGUGGCGGGCGACCGUGACGGGGCGACGCGUAUGCUCGCCUACCUGGAGCAACACGGCCUCUUGCGCCUGCGCAGCGUCUCAGCCUUCUUGCAGUACUGCUGCAGUGGGCUCAAGGACCGUCGACUCGCCUUUGCCGUAUAUGAGGCGGCUCUAAAACACAAAAUCGAGCUUACAGAACCAGACUACCUUGCGCUUGGCCGGCUGUGUGUGCAGGUUCGAGAACCCGUGGGCACACUCUUCUUCAUGCUGCAGGAGAUGCGCGAGCACGUCGCCGAGGUGAGCGAGGCAAUGGUGCGCGAUGUGCUGGAGCCGUGGGUGAUGAUGGCCAACGAAGACGCCGCUGUCGGUUUGAAACCUCGCGGGGUACCGAUGUCGUUGCAGCUUCACAGGGUCGAUGAGAUGCACCACGUGCCGCAGCUGUUGGUUGCUUCGCCACCACCGUCGACCGGUGCUUCUGCGAGAGGCGCCGCCAGUCCCGGCGACAGUGCUGCGACUGCGCCACCUAGCGACACACAGCUGUGUGGUAUCUGUCCAGCUUGUCAAGCGGAACUAUCCGGGUAUCCCUUUACAGCCGCCUGCCGCUCUCAUCUUCUGCGCGAGUUGAAGGAGCUGAUUAUUCCGCAGGCCUGCCGCAGCCGCCGUGCGUUGCUCGGAUUCGAGCACUGGAAGCGCUACAUACACGCUCGCCUGGACGCAGGUGAUCGCGUCGACAUCUUCAUUGACGGCGCCAACUUGGGCUACUACGGCCUGUCAAGCUGGUACGAUCUGGCCAAAAAGCAGUUGAUGCUGCACUGCGGCGUCCCAGAGAGUCGAAUCACGGACAGCGAUUUGGACUUCAACGCUCAGUGCAAGACAUCUGGCCGCGGCGUCGAUGUAGGCGUGAACUUUGAGCUGAUCGACGCUGCUGUGAAGCUUGCCGUGGACACGUACAGAAUGCGCAGCCCACUCGUCAUGUUGCACGAGCGACACGUCGAGCCGAAAUUCAUGACUUUGCAGAGCACUGCCAUUGUGCAGCGCUGGAAGGAUCGAGGGUGGCUCUACUGCUCUCCUACAGGCUUGAACGACGAUCUCUGCUGGCUGUACGGCGCACUCCUCUUGACUGAUCCGACCGACACGACGCCUACCUCGGUCACGGCCGCCUCGGCCUCCCCGCAUCGCACGUUUGUCUGCACUAACGACAAGAUGCGCGACCACCACUUCCGUCUCUUGAGCCCACGAGCCUUCACGCGCUGGCGUGACCGACACCGCAUCGCCUUCCGCUGCUCGCGCGUGGGGGAUCGCAUGGAGCUGCACUGGGAGCUGCCGGCUCCUUAUGAGCGCUGCAUUCAGCAACGCGACGCCCACUCCGCACCUUCACUGCGCAAAUCAGAAAAGCAGCCGACGCCAUCGCACUAUGUGACCUCACACGCGGCAACUCAUGCCGGCUCCCCACACGUGAGUGGCACGGGCGCUGUUACCUCAUGGCACAUACCCUUCGCCUCCGCGCCGCGAAGCGCAGCGGCCUCAGCUGAGCUCACUGCAUCCCCCGAUGACCAGAGCGUUCCGCACAGCUCCGGUGGUGAGCAGGCUGAUGCGAUGCCGAAUGUGGAAGGCAAGAGCGUUGCUCAGUAUCACUCAGCUUUCCUGAAGGGAGCGGGGAGGGCGCAGGGUGAGGCGACAGGGGAGGAGGUGGACGCCAUGGCGAUCGCACCCGCACAAGCGGGUCCGUGGGUCUGCAUCACUGUUCACGAAGAAGCUGUUGGCUGAGGCGAUGAAGACGACGUGAUGAGGCAAGGACGCACUACCAGCGACACUGAGGACAGGAAGGGGGUGGGUGGGCGCAUGCGGCGUAGGGCUAGGCUAGAGUUUUGGCUUGUCCUCUCUCACACACCGUCGUAUCUUCUUUUCCUUUCGAUCAGCCGAAGCGUAUGUGAGCCUCCCUCCUCCACCCGCCCACAAGUACGCUCACCACAAAGUGAAACGCACAUGUUGGUGAUAGCAGACUGCACGGACGGUUGCUUGCCUGUCUGGAGCAGCGAGCAAGGCGGCGGUGGCGGGGGUUGUUGGGACAGAGGGCGUGGCAGAAGUACGCUCGUCGCCGAAGCCGCGCCGUAGCAGCGUUGCAUCACAAAUUGGUCAAACAAACUGGAAACAGAAUAUGGUGAAUGAG
rnacentral:misc_RNA from 1 species